rnacentral:rRNA from 1 species
GCGAGUCGAGAGGGUUCGGCCCUCGGCAGACUGCUCAGUAACACGUGGAUAACCUACCCUUAGGUGGAGGAUAAUCUCGGGAAACUGAGAAUAAUACUCCAUAGAUCUAGGAUGCUGGAAUGCACCUAGAUUGAAAGCUCUGGCGCCUAAGGAUGGGUCUGCGGACUAUCAGGUUGUAGUCAGGGUAAAGACCUGACUAGCCUACGACGGAUAUGGGUUGUGAGAGCAAUAGCCCAGAGACGAUAUCUGAGACACGAUAUCGGGCCCUACGGGGCGCAGCAGGCGCGAAAUCUUCACAAUGUGCGAAAGCACGAUGAGGGGAUCCCAAGUGCUGGCACGUAAGUGUCAGCUGUUUCUUUGUCUAAAAAACAAAGAGAGUAAGAGCUGGGUAAGACGGGUGCCAGCCGCCGCGGUAAUACCUGCAGCUCAAGUGGUGGCCGCUAUUAUUGGGCCUAAAACGUCCGUAGCCGGUUUAGUAAAUGCUUGGGUAAAUUGUGUAGCUUAACUAUACGAAUACCGGGUAGACUGCUAAACUUGGGACCGGGAGAGGCUAGAGGUACUCCUAGGGUAGAGGUGAAAUUCUGUAAUCCUAGGGGGACCACCAGUGGCGAAGGCGUCUAGCUAGAACGGGUCUGACGGUGAGGGACGAAGCCCUGGGGCGCAAACCGGAUUAGAUACCCGGGUAGUCCAGGGUGUAAACGCUGCUUGCUUGAUGUUAGUUGGGCUCCGAGCCCAAC